UGUUUCUCCUGCAAGGGAGCACAAUUGCAAACGCCUCAUAGGCGUUUGUUCGAGUAGGCGCAUGAGAGUAAGCAAAUGUGCAGAAACAUCUUGAUACAG
rnacentral:tRNA from 1 species